GACGAACGCUGGCGGCGUGCUUAACACAUGCAAGUCGAGCGGAGCGGCGAACGGGUGCGUAACGCGUGAGUAACUGCCCCCCUCUCUGGGAUAACAGUUGGAAACGGCUGCUAAUACCGGAUAGUGGGGGCUGACUCGCGUCCUAUCAGCUUGUUGGUGGGGUAGUGGCCGACCAAGGCGACGACGGGUAGCCGGCCUGAGAGGGCGACCGGCCACAUUGGGCUGAGGGACGGCCCAGACUGGUACGGGAGGCAGCAGGGGGGAAUAUUGCACAAUGAGGGAAAGCCUAAUGAAGCGACGCCGGGUGCGGAAUGACGGCCUUCGGGUUGUAAACCGCUUUCAGCCAUGACGCGGUAGUGGCAGAAGAAGCACCGGCUAACUACGUGCCAGCAGCCGCGGUAAUUC
rnacentral:rRNA from 1 species